rnacentral:tRNA from 1 species
GGCGCUGUGGCUCAAGCAGUAGAGCGCUUCUCUUGAGCUGAAGAAUGCAGGCACAGCGCCA